UACGUAGGGGGCAAGCGUUGUCCGGAAUCAUUGGGCGUAAAGAGCGCGUAGGCGGCCCUGUAAGUCCGCUGUGAAAGUCAAGGGCUCAACCCUUGAAUGCCGGUGGAUACUGCAGGGCUAGAGUCCGGAAGAGGCGAGUGGAAUUCCUGGUGUAGCGGUGAAAUGCGCAGAUAUCAGGAGGAACACCGAUGGCGAAGGCAGCUCGCUGGGACGGUACUGACGCUGAGGCGCGAAAGCAUGGGGAGCGAACAGG
rnacentral:rRNA from 1 species